GACGAACGCUGGCGGCGUGCCUAAUACAUGCAAGUAGAACGCUGAAGGAGGAGCUUGCUUCUCUGGAUGAGUUGCGAACGGGUGAGUAACGCGUAGGUAACCUGCCUGGUAGCGGGGGAUAACUAUUGGAAACGAUAGCUAAUACCGCAUAAUAGUAGAUGUUGCAUGACAUUUGCUUAAAAGGUGCAAUUGCAUCACUACCAGAUGGACCUGCGUUGUAUUAGCUAGUUGGUGAGGUAACGGCUCACCAAGGCAACGAUACAUAGCCGACCUGAGAGGGUGAUCGGCCACACUGGGACUGAGACACGGCCCAGACUCCUACGGGAGGCAGCAGUAGGGAAUCUUCGGCAAUGGACGGAAGUCUGACCGAGCAACGCCGCGUGAGUGAAGAAGGUUUUCGGGUCGUAAAGCUCUGUUGUAAGAGAAGAACGAGUGUGAGAGUGGAAAGUUCACACUGUGACGGUAUCUUACCAGAAAGGGACGGCUAACUACGUG
rnacentral:rRNA from 1 species